rnacentral:misc_RNA from 1 species
GAUGAAGAACGUAGCGAAAUGCGAUACUUGGUGUGAAUUGCAGAAUCCCGUGAACCAUCGAGUCUUUGAAUGCAAGUUGCGCCCGAAGCCAUUAGGCCGAGGGCACGCCUGCCUGGGCGUCACACGUCGUUGCCCCCCCAUCUACUCCUUCGGGAUUGCGGGGGGCGGAUGAUGGCCUCCCGUGCGCCUCGCCGCGCGGUUGGCAUAAAUGCCAAGUCCUCGGCGACGCACGCCACGACAAUCGGUGGUUGCGAAACCUCGGUUGCCCGUCGUGUGCGGUCGUCGCGCAUCGAGGGCUCGAAAAAAUUGCCGGGUUCCGGCUCGGCUUUCAACGCGACCCCAGGUCAGGCGGGGUUACCCGCUGAAUUUAAGCAUAUCAAUAAGCGGAGGA